rnacentral:misc_RNA from 1 species
GAUGAAGAACGUAGCGAAAUGCGAUAAGUAAUGUGAAUUGCAGAAUUCAGUGAAUCAUCGAAUCUUUGAACGCAUCUUGCGCUCCUUGGUAUUCUGAGGAGCAUGCCUGUUUGAGUGUCAUUAAAUUCUCAACUACACUGACUUUGAAUUGGUGUGGCUUGGAUUUGGGGGGAAAAUUGUUGUGGGCUUUUUGUAUAGUCUGCUCCCCUGAAAUUGAUUAGCGGUACCUUUGUGGAACUGUCUACAGGUGUGAUAAUUAUCUACAUCUUAGACAUCUGCUGGAAUGCUGCUUUCUAAACCUUACUUGUAUUGACAAUCUUGACCUCAAAUCAGGUAGGACUACCCGCUGAACUUAAGCAUAUCAAAAAGCGGAGGA